rnacentral:lncRNA from 1 species
CCUUUUCUGAAUAUUGUUUCAAGAUUGAGAAGAAAAAAAAACUCCCACACUAUAACUGGUAAUUAACACGUUUCACAAUUCUCUCAAAAAGAAAAUAUACAAACAAAUGAGAGCUAAAGUAGUAAUUUAUUCAGCCUGUUGUUUUGUUUGUUUUUCAAAUCUCCUUUACUUUUGCUUCUCAUUGACUAUCAAACGAUGGGAAGGACAACUAAGUUUUACCUUUUUUCUUUAGCCUUUCGGUCCGUCCUUUAUGAAAAUCUCAAUCGGAACCUCUAAACAAGAAAAGGUUAAAUCACCAACAUCGUUUCCUUUACUUCACUCCACUCCCAAACAUGGUGUAGAUUUUCUCG